CCCAAUUUGGCUUCCUUUCCUUUCUUAACUACUCUCAUUUUUUUCACUGACUGAGUAAGGGAGUGGGUAGAGCAAGCCUGAGAGGCUCUCACUUCAGGUGCCACGUGCCUAUCUAUACAGGUGAACCUGUGGAUCAGCAAGACCCACUCUGGGUACAGUGCCAGGUGGGGAGAUUGACUGGGACAGUAAACCUAUUAACCUUUAAUGUAGGUGUCCUUAGGUGAGCUCAGGGAGGACAGAAAUCUUCUGUGGAAGAGAAGAACAAUAGUUCACUUGAUCUUGAUUUUCAGUAGGAACACAAACCAUGAAAGCAGGGCCUCAGGAUCCUUCUGACUAUUUGGGUUUAAAGCAGGAGGUAUCAGAAAAAUUACUACGGCAAUAACUGCCUUGUAUUGGCCAAGUGUUCAUAGCAGCAUCUCGUUUUGAUAUUUAAUGUCUGCUUUUCCUAUUCAAACAUUUCUAUUGUGAAGCAGAAUUCAUCCACUAAUAGGGAAUAUGAGCUGGGUUUAUACUGUUAGGAGAUAGGUU
rnacentral:ncRNA from 1 species